rnacentral:rRNA from 1 species
AUGGGGAGUAUGUGCUCAUCGCCGAAGACAACGCUCGUUCGAUCCCGCUGCCGGCACCGGAGAGGACUUCAUCGAACAAGGAGAUUACACCAACAUCGCUGGAGCUUGUCCACACCAAGCCGUUCAUCGAGUGCAGACGGAGCUCGCCAACGACGGGGCCCAACCACGCCUUUCUACAAAGUCACCUUCCUCGGCCCCGUGAGGCAGCGCCUUUGUCUUGGCAGACCACCGAAUACGGUGUCUGACCAAGACGGGGUGCAUCCUUCAUGGCAUAAAGGUUUCGGCGUACAGCCAGCAUGA